rnacentral:lncRNA from 1 species
GAAAAGACAAUUUUGAGUUUAUGUCGAGCAGGUUCACUUAAAUGGGUGAACCAACGAAGUGUUAGUGCACCGACCCGUAUAUUUUUCGCCCAAAUUUGCCGCCUAAAGGGCUGGAACACGAGCCAAACUUGGCUGGCAAAGACCAGAAGGUCUUUGUACAUGGAGGCAACAAUCCGACAUGCUGUCCGGACCCUCCUAGGGGCCACAUUCUGCCAGAGAAGUCACAUGCAGCAUGACUGGUCAGGACCACAGUCUGCCGGGACAAUCAUGGAAGCAUCUCACUGCCAGCAAGGACAUGUGCUGCACAGCUGGGUAGGGCCACAUCCUGUCUGGGUGAACAUGGGAGUAACUAUCUGCCAGCAGGAACUGGCAAGUCAAUUGGCACAUGGGCUGCCAACACCUUCCUGGAAAUCACAUGAAGCUAGCACAAAGUAGUGCACCACAGCUGGGCAGGUCCACAGCCAGCCUAGCUGCCUGUGGACAUUUUCUGUAUAUAUAAGAAUGCUUAGGCCUUGUUAGAAGGCAGAUCUCUUUACUUGUAUUUCUUCUUUUGUACAUGAAUUAAACCCCAAAAAUUGGCCUUGGCCUCCCAUCUUUGUGUGUCUUGCAUUUCUUUAUCCCUCCAACCUUUGAGUUUGUGUGAUUGUCUUGGUCCAAAGCACGAUAUUGUGCUUGUUUGUUGGUUAAGGCUGAAGCAAGAGUAGUAAUCAGGCUAUCUUGCUGCCUUUACGGGUUACCAGAAAAACGACCCCGUGACAACUGGUAUCAGAGCGAGGUUAAUCGACCAUGACAACUGAUGGAGAUAACAUAAAUUUAGACAACAUUCGUGGAAGAGACGAGUCACCAACAAAACGACAGAAACCAAAGAAGAGAGGAACAAGCAAAGCGCGAGAUCCCGCCAUAGCCUUAACAAUUGAGGCGCCAGUUCUUGAGCUGCCCCCACAACAUGUUAGCCGUGGUGAAGAUUGUGAGGCUCCUGCCUCAAAUCUCUUAAUCAUGAGAAUGGGUCUCACCAAAGCUAGUUUAGAUGCUUUAAACUAGCAUAUGGGAGAAGUUGAACACAACUUCCGCUCGCUUGAGUCUACUACUCUAGAUGGACUUGAUGAAGUCAAAGAGACGAUAGAUCAAGGAAUUUUUUAGCACAAGGAAGUACUGACCAACCUUGAGCUUAAGUUGACUGAGGUUGUAUCGGCAUUGCACGGGGAAAUUGAAGCCCUAAAGCAACAACUGAAGGCAGUAGAGUUAGCCAGUGGCACUGGUCAUGUGACAGUGCGUGCAACCAAGAUCGAGGGCCCAAACCCGAAGGAGUUUAGGGGCGAACAAGACACUCAAGAAGUAGAGAACUUCAUCUGGAAGAUGGAAGACUACUUUGAGCACUUUUACAUCGUUGAUGAGGCUGCCAAGAUCCGGGCAGUGACGAUGUAUCUUGCCGAUACCGCCAUGCUCUGGUGGAGAAGGAAGAAAGCCGACAUGGAGAGGGAAACUUGCUCCAUCAAGAGCUGGGAACAGUUCAAGUUCGAACUAAAGUGCCAGUUCUACCCCCAAAACAUUGUCAAUGAGGCACGUAGGAAGUUGAGAGAGCUCAUGCAAACAACUUCCAUAAGCGAGUACGUGAAGAAUUUCACUAAACUCAUUCUGCAAAUUCCGAACUUAGCAAGCGAUGACUUGUUAUUCACUUUCAUCGAUGGACUUCAAGAUUGGGCAAGACGGGAAUUGCAGUGAUGUCAAGUCCAAGACAUCGAUGAAGCUAUCGCGGUGGCUGAAUCCUUAAAUGAUUAUAGGACAGAAGCCACAAAGGCAAGGGGCAUCAGCUUCCAACUGGAUGAAGACCAUGGAUAUCGGGACAAGGGAAAGCAAGUUGCUGCCGCUGACCGCGAUUCUAGAGAACAAGGAAACAAGGCGUACUGGCACGCCCGGUACACCCAAAGGAAGAAGGAAGCUGGUCCCUGUAAUGGUUGUUACAUCUGCAAGGAUACUAGUCAUGGGUACAAGGAUUACCCUUCUUUGAAGAAACUCGGUGCCAUAAUUACGGUCGAGCGGAAGAUAACAGUGGAAAGAAUCCAAGCAGAUGAACAAGCCAAAGAACAACCACCAGCUAUAGCUCAUCUUGGCAACAUGAUACUGGGCGCAGUAGUAGCCGAAAAGCCUGCUUUGAAGCAAGCCGCCCAAGGGAAGCAUGACAUUGUCAAACUGGUUCACGCGUUAAGCGACGAUGUGAUUGGCAAGGAGCCCCAAUCAAGGGAGCCAGGAUCACUAUUCGUGGAUGCACAAUUUAACGGACAAUCUGUCCGUAUCAUGGUAGACACCGGAGCGACACACAAUUUUGUGUCCGAAGCAAAGGCUAAUUCAUUUGGCCUUGUGUUCGGUCCUAGCAGUUCUGUACUGAAGACGGUAAACGCCAAACCCACCAAUGUGAAAGGGAUUGCCCGCAAUAUGCAGCUCAACUUAGGAGCUUGGCAGGGGAACGUGAGUUUCUUUAUCGCUUCCCUGGACGUAUUUGACUUGGUACUCGGGUUGGACUAUUGGGAUGCAGUGAAGGCAUUCAUAUGCCCAUUUCUCAACCAAAUCUACAUUUAUGACCCAAGGGGUCCAUGUGUGGUACCGACAGUUCGGGUGCCGCAAGUUGUUAGUCUCUUGUCCACGAUUCAAAUUGUGAAAGGCUUCAAGGAAAAGGGAGCACCGGUUUUGGCAGUCGGGACAGAGACUAAGGAGGUCAAGAUGGACAAAGCCUUGACUCCUUGUGAACAACGAAUCAUUAAGGGUAAGGACUUCAUUCCGUGGGAGAAGCCGCCUGCCAUGGGUCCGUACAUGGUACCUCCAAAGUUGGAGGAUUCAAGGAAGUAACCUGAAAAGUUGCUUGGGUCGAGGCAUGUCAGUCCGUUAAAUGCACCUUGUAGAGACAAGGGUGAUAUGGAGCAGAGGCAAUCCAGGAGACCAAAUAUUUUCGUAACCCCUCUGGUCGUCGACAAGGAAGUAAAGAUCAUUAUCAACCAUCGGGUGAUACAAGGAGUAGGUUGGGGCAAUUCAAGUGCCCAAUUUCUUGUCCGUUAGAAGGGGCAACCGCCAGAGGGGGCAUCCUGGGAAAAAUAUGAGGCAUUAGAGCCGUUCGAAGAUCAAGUUCACGACUACUUGAACCGUUGUGGCGCCGCGGUCGUCGCCAUUUCAAGUGGGGGAGAGUGCACCGACCCGCAUAUUUUUCGCCCAAAUUUGCCGCCUAAAGGGCUGGAACACGAGCCAAACUUGUCUGACAAAGACCAGAAGGUAUUUGUACAUGGAGGCAACAAUCCGACAGGCUGUCCGGGCCCUCCUAGAGGCCACAUUCUGCCAGCAAAGUCACAUGCAACACAACUGGGCAGGACCACAGUCUGCCGGGACAAUCAUGGAAGCAUCUCACUGCCAGCAAGGGCAUGUGCUGCACAGCUGGGUAGGGCCACAUCCUGUCUAGGUGAACAUGGGAGCAACAAUCUGCCAGCAGGAACUGGCAAGUCAAUUGGCACAUGGGCUGCCAACACCUUCCUGGAAAUCACA